UACAGAGGGGGCAAGCGUUGUUCGGAAUUACUGGGCGUAAAGGGCGCGUAGGCGGCCUUCUAAGUCGGACGUGAAAUCCCCGGGCUCAACCCGGGAACUGCGUCCGAUACUGGAAGGCUUGAGUCCGGGAGAGGGAUGCGGAAUUCCAGGUGUAGCGGUGAAAUGCGUAGAUAUCUGGAGGAACACCGGUGGCGAAGGCGGCACCCUGGACCGGCAUUGACGCUGAGGCGCGAAAGCCAGGGGAGCGAACAGG
rnacentral:rRNA from 1 species